GCAUUCCUCACCACUGAAGAAGCACUGGGCAGAGACAGGGGCAGCUCACAGUCCUGUCUUGAACCUGCUCAGACACUGUGAAGAUGAACAGAUUGAAGCCAUGAUGUCUCUCCUUUUCCUUCAGCUGAGAUGACACUGACCACGCUGCAUGGCCCAGCAGUGAGAAGUAAGAGUGAAAAAUAUCUAUCAGCAAACAAGCUUAUUGUUUCCACGAAGAAAUGGUACAUCUGCAAACUACUAUAAGACGGAUGAGAAAAAGCAAGUUUCUACAAAGGUGAAUAUAAAAUCUUCACUUGUAUCUAUAUGU
rnacentral:lncRNA from 1 species